UGUAGCUUAGUUGGUAGAGUGUUUGUCUUGUAUGUGCAAGUCUCUGGGUUCAAUUCCCAGCA
rnacentral:tRNA from 1 species